AUGAGGUCAUUCUUGCUUGGAUGGCCAGAAGUGUCUGGAACUCAUGACUCCUCACAUGACACAUCUCCUUUUCCCCUUCUGAGUCCAUAAAAAUCUGUCAGUUUCCUCAGUGGACACCCAUGUACUCAGAUUCUCAAUCUUCUUAACUUCUUGAUUAAAGAUGAGAAAAGUGAGACAAACAGUGACUUUCCCAAGGACAAGAGGUUAUUAAUUACUGCUUUACUCUGCUACUGUGGAAAUAUCAGUUUCUUGGUAAGGAAGCAGACUUUCUUCCAUGUUGGAG
rnacentral:lncRNA from 1 species